CAGAACAGGUUCUCAGACUAUGAGAAGAGGAAGGAACAGAAGAUGCUGGAGAAACUCGAGUUUGAACGGCGCCUGGAACUGGGGCAGCGGGAGCACGCCCAGCUCCUUCAGCAGAGCAGCAGCCAGAAGGAUGAGAUCCUUCAGACGGUCAAGGAGGAGCAGUCCCGGCUAGAGCAGGGCCUGAGUGAGCGCCAGCGCCAGCUCGACGCAGAGCGGCAGCGGCUGCAGGAACAGCUGAAGCAGACGGAACAGAACAUCUCCAGCCGGAUCCAGAAGCUGUUGCGGGACAAUCAGAGACAAAAGAAAAGCUCCGAGAUUUUGAAAUCGCUGGAAAAUGAAAGAAUAAGAAUGGAACAGUUGAUGUCCAUAACCCAGGAGGAGACUGAGAACCUGCGGCGACGUGAGGUUGCCUCCGCCAUGCAGCAGAUGCUGACUGAGAGCUGUAAGAACCGGCUCAUCCAGAUGGCCUACGAAUCUCAGAGGCAGAACUUGGUCCAGCAGGCCUGUUCCAGGUUCCACAGGUGCCCAACAGAGCCAGUGGGGAAAACUCAGUCAGUGCUCAGGAGCCCCAGACAGGGACAGGCCAGCAGCCCUGGAUGCCCUGUUUCUCCUCCCAUGCAGGUGGCUGGCACAGCUGCCACCCUCCAGGGCACCUGGACUGUGCGGGCCUCCCCUGGGUCCCUGCAGAUGUGGGAAUUUCUCCCCCCGUCCUGAUAUGUGACACUGUGCUUAGGAGUUGCAAGCUCAGGGGUCAAACAGACCUGGAUCCAGGUCCCACUUCUGCUUACUAACCGUGAGGUCUCAGGCCAAGGGAUUCAGACAGACUCAGUGUCUGUGGCCCACCCAGGGCCCGGCUCCCAGCAGGUACUCC
rnacentral:sRNA from 1 species